AGAGCGAACGCUGGCGGCAGGCCUAAUACAUGCAAGUCGAACGGAUCCUUCGGGAUUAGUGGCGGACGGGUGAGUAACACGUGGGAACGUACCCUUUGGUUCGGAACAACUCAGGGAAACUUGAGCUAAUACCGAAUGUGCCCUUCGGGGAAAAGAUUUAUCGCCAUUGGAGCGGCCCGCGUCUGAUUAGCUAGUUGGUAGGGUAAAGGCCUACCAAGGCUACGAUCAGUAGCUGGUCUGAGAGGAUGAUCAGCCACACUGGGACUGAGACACGGCCCAGACUCCUACGGGAGGCAGCAGUAGGGAAUCUUGCGCAAUGGGCGAAAGCCUGACGCAGCCAUGCCGCGUGAAUGAUGAAGGUCUUAGGAUUGUAAAAUUCUUUCAGCGGGGACGAUAAUGACGGUACCCGCAGAAGAGCCCCGGCUAACUUCGCGCCAGCAGCCGC
rnacentral:rRNA from 1 species